ensembl:lncRNA
UGAUUCCGUCACACUAGAGUAGCAAGAGCACCAGCAACUUCCUGGUCUAAAAAGCAGAAAUGCAAACAGUGUCAGCAACACAGAAUGUUAAGUAACCAAUGUCAAAAACAAUACUCACCAUUAGAGCUUCUAGAGGAUGAAUCCAUUAUAUUUUUCUGUUGAUAGAUAUAUGGUUAGUACAAAGGCCUUCAAAUUCAGAGCAAAGUUCAGAGCAGGUUAAAGUGAACCAUUACCUUGCAGAAUCCUUCACUAGUGUUGGAUAUAUGCUUGGUGCACCAAUGCUAACAUAACCGUCCUUGGGAGCAUUUCCACUGUCAACAGGCAUUGCCUCCCUAGGAGUGUAGCUGAUUUGGGAGAAGACAGUUCUGCCAUUCUUGUAGUGCGAUUUGGAACUGUAGGAAGAGAUGGGGAUGACACCUGACUGUUCAAUGCUGGCCUGAGAACUACCAGAGGCAUCUUCAGUGCUUUCGUAGUGCUUCUGUUGAGACAAUGGGGCCAGUUGCUGCUGGGAAAUUUGGGCUACAUGCCAUAAUUGCUGAUGAAUGGGGUUGGGUAGCUGCUGGGCCAUUUGAGCUGGAUACCUCACUUGCUGAGGCUCGACUGCCAGUUCCUUCUGCUGGGGAAAUUGAGAUGGAUGCCACACAAGCGGAGGCUGCUGGAGAAUGGAGGCCUGUAGCUUCUGUGGCAUGGCGGUCAGCUCCUUCUGUUGAGGUUCAGUGGCCGGUUGCUUCUGCUGCAGGGGAUUUUGAGCUGGAUGCCACGCUUGCUGGGGCGUGGUGGAUGGUUGCUUCUGCUGAGUUUGCUGGGCUAUGGUGGUUGGUUCCUUCUGCAGUAGAGGCAUAGGGGCCAGUUGCUUCUGCUGGGGAAUCUGAGCAGGAUGCCAUGCUUCCUGGGGCACGGGGGUCGUUUGCGUCUGCUGCAGAGGCAUUUGAGAAGGAUGCCACACUUGCUGGGGCACGGCGGUCGGUUGCUUCUGCUGCAUUUGAGCUGGAUGCCACACUUGCUGGGGCACGGCGGUCGGUAGCUUCUGCUGCAGGGGCUUUUGAGCAGGAUGCCACACUUGCUGAGGCGAGGCGGGUGAUUGCUUCUGCAGCAUUUGAUUAGGAUGCCACACUUGCUGGGGCACGGCGGUCGGUGGUUCUGUCAGCAUGUGAGCUUGAUGCCACACUUGCUGGGGCACAGUUGUCGCUUGCCUCUGCUGCUGAGCUUCUGCGGCACGUUGCUUCUGAUGCAGGGGCAUUUGACCUGGAUACCACACUUGCUGAGGUUGCCGGGACAUGGGGGCCAGUUCUUUCCGCAGGAUGGCGGCCGGAUGUUUCUGCUGCGCUUGCAUUUGAGAUUUAUAAUUGCCAUAUCCUAGAGACCGAAGUGAUCCUGCAUAGAGCCAUGCUGCAUUAGAAUCCAGUGCAGGAGACCAAUCACCUAGGUUAAAAAUAUAAACUGUAAAAUGCCAGCCUUUGAAAGUUAUGGAACUGCGUAGCUGUUAUUUGAAAUGAACUCACCUUCUGAUGUAGAACACGUUAUCCCUCCAAUUAGCAGGCAACAAAGCCAAGAAACGCUUAAGGAAAAAUGAUGUGUUAUAAACAUA